rnacentral:rRNA from 1 species
GGUUAAGUUAGAAAGGGCGCACGGUGGAUGCCUUGGCACUAGGAGCCGAAGAAGGACGGGACUAACACCGAUAUGCUUUGGGGAGCUGUACGUAAGCGUUGAUCCAGAGAUUUCCGAAUGGGGGAACCCACUAUCUUUAGUCGGAUAGUAUCCUUACGUGAAUACAUAGCGUGAGGAAGGCAGACCCAGGGAACUGAAACAUCUAAGUACCUGGAGGAAGAGAAAGAAAAAUCGAUUUCCUGAGUAGCGGCGAGCGAAACGGAAAGAGCCCAAACCAAGAAGCUUGCUUCUUGGGGUUGUAGGACACUCUAUACGGAGUUACAAAAGAAAGUUAUAAAUGAAGCGGUCUGGAAAGGCCCGCCAAAGACGGUAACAGCCCGGUAGUUGAAAUGGCUUUCCCUCCAGAGUGGAUCCUGAGUACGGCGGAACACGUGAAAUUCCGUCGGAAUCCGGGAGGACCAUCUCCCAAGGCUAAAUACUCCCUAGUGACCGAUAGUGAACCAGUACCGUGAGGGAAAGGUGAAAAGCACCCCGGAAGGGGAGUGAAACAGUUCCUGAAACCGUGUGCCUACAAGUAGUUAGAGCCCGUUAAUGGGUGAUAGCGUGCCUUUUGUAGAAUGAACCGGCGAGUUACGAUUUGUUGCAAGGUUAAGCGGAAAAAGCGGAGCCGUAGCGAAAGCGAGUCUGAAUAGGGCGCAUAAGUAACAGGUCGUAGACCCGAAACCAGGUGAUCUACCCAUGUCCAGGAUGAAGGUAAGGUAAUACUUACUGGAGGUCCGAACCCACGCACGUUGAAAAGUGCGGGGAUGAGGUGUGGGUAGCGGAGAAAUUCCAAUCGAACUUGGAGAUAGCUGGUUCUCUCCGAAAUAGCUUUAGGGCUAGCCUCGAGGUAAAGAGUCAUGGAGGUAGAGCACUGUUUGGACUAGGGGCCCUUCUCGGGUUACCGAAUUCAGAUAAACUCCGAAUGCCAUGUACUUAUACUCGGGAGUCAGACUGCGAGUGAUAAGAUCCGUAGUCGAAAGGGAAACAGCCCAGACCACCAGUUAAGGUCCCCAAAUAUAUGUUAAGUGGAAAAGGAUGUGGGGUUGCUUAGACAACCAGGAUGUUGGCUUAGAAGCAGCCACCAUUGAAAGAGUGCGUAAUAGCUCACUGGUCGAGUGACCCCGCGCCGAAAAUGUACCGGGGCUAAACAUAUUACCGAAACUGUGGAUGAACCUCUUUAGAGGUUCGUGGUAGGAGAGCGUUCUAAGGGCGGUGAAGUCAGACCGGAAGGACUGGUGGAGCGCUUAGAAGUGAGAAUGCCGGUAUGAGUAGCGAAAGAAGGGUGAGAAUCCCUUCCACCGAAUAUCUAAGGUUUCCUGAGGAAGGCUCGUCCGCUCAGGGUUAGUCGGGACCUAAGCCGAGGCCGAUAGGCGUAGGCGAUGGACAACAGGUAGAGAUUCCUGUACCAGUGCUAAUUGUUUAACCGAUGGGGUGACACAGAAGGAUAGGGAAUCGCACGAAUGGAAAUGUGCGUCCAAGCAGUGAGUGUGAGAAGUAGGCAAAUCCGCUUCUCGCGAAGCAUGAGCUGUGAUGGGGAAGGAAAUUAAGUACGGAAGUUCCUGAUUUCACGCUGUCAAGAAAAGCCUCUAGGAAGAGUAGUACUGCCCGUACCGCAAACCGACACAGGUAGAUGAGGAGAGAAUCCUAAGGUGAGCGAGAGAACUCUCGUUAAGGAACUCGGCAAAAUGACCCCGUAACUUCGGGAGAAGGGGUGCUCUAUUAGGGUGCAAGCCCGAGAGAGCCGCAGUGAAUAGGCCCAGGCGACUGUUUAGCAAAAACACAGGUCUCUGCAAAACCGUAAGGUGACGUAUAGGGGCUGACGCCUGCCCGGUGCUGGAAGGUUAAGAGGAGUGCUUAGCUUCGGCGAAGGUACGAAUUGAAGCCCCAGUAAACGGCGGCCGUAACUAUAACGGUCCUAAGGUAGCGAAAUU